AACGACCUACGGGGGGCAGCAGUGGGGGAUAUUGCACAAUGAGGGAAACCCUGAUGCAGCGACGCCGCGUGAGCGAUGAAGUAUUUCGGUAUGUAAAGCUCUAUCAGCAGGGAAGAAAAUGACGGUACCUGACUAAGAAGCCCCGGCUAACUACGUGCCAGCAGCCGCGGUAAUACGUAGGGGGCAAGCGUUAUCCGGAUUUACUGGGUGUAAAGGGAGCGUAGACGGCAGCGCAAGUCUGGAGUGAAAUGCCGGGGCCCAACCCCGGAGCUGCUUUGGAAACUGUGCAGCUCGAGUGCAGGAGG
rnacentral:rRNA from 1 species